UAAAUACUCCCCCCGUCCGGAAAUACUUGUCGGAAAAAUGAAUAAAAAUGGAUGUAUCUAGAACUAAAAUACAUCUAGAUACAUUCAUUUCUCCGACAAGUAUUUCCGGACGGAGGGAGUACUUG
rnacentral:pre_miRNA from 1 species